UGUGAAAUAACAAUUAGCUCAAUUUGCAAAUAAUUUCACAAGCAACAUAUCAUGUAUGUUACGAGAGAGUGGCGUUGUGUAGAAACUUGCCAGCAUAUAGCCUUAAUACAAUUCACUUGGGAAUUAAAUUAAACACCUUUCUGAAAGAUGGGUUAUUGAAUUCUGAGUAAGUAUUAUUCCAGGUUGCUUCUGUUUAUUAAGUGGUGAUGAAGUUGGGUUAAAAGAAUUAAUUUGCAUCUAUCCAUGGUGAAAGCUGCAUGUAAGACUGUUACGAGCUCUAGAAUAAAUGGCAUACAAUAGAAAACAGCAAAGAUAAAAAUAAUUAACUUGCUGUGGCUCUUGGGCAAGUUAUUUGAUUCCAUGUCCUUCUUCGAUAAAGAAAAAGUAGCAGAGUAAAUCAUAUCUAGAACAUCUUGUGUUUUAUCAGCUCUUCAAGACUCUCUCCAAUCAAAUAAUGUUCACUCACAGAUGAAGUGAUAUAUCAAGAUGAAUGUCAAAUUGGCAUACGCAAUUUCUUGCCUUAUAUGGAAGCUGGGGCUUCUCCAUCUGGGAAUGUACGCCUAAAGAGUUCCACUUCAGCAAGACAAUGAUGUGAGGAGCUCCACAGAACUGUUCCCUAGUGAAAAUGGUGAUUAUAAAAGGACGACCAUUUAACAUCUCUGGAAAUGGUCCUGGAGGCAAGCAGCAAAUGAAGAAACAUUUAUCCAAGACAAUCUACCAAAGGAAUAUUUAACUCACCUGGAUCAUUGUCCUUGGAAAAAAUUUGGUGCACAUUCUACAACAUUAUUGGUGCUCCAAGAUAAAACAAUCUAUCAUUCUAUCAACUCUCAAAUGUUCCAUUUGCCAGUAUACAGAGGUGUAUGCAGUUGGAUCUAGACAGAGAAAACUCAGCUCUAUGGACACCUACAAU